GAGACCCCUCAGCUGUCUGAGCAGGCAGGUGCAGUGCCCCACAUGUGAGACCCCAGUGCUUUGUAGCCUGCACACUAUCAUAUUAGCAUUUUUUUUUAAUCACUGAUUUUCUCCUCCAGAGUCACAAGACAAGCUGUUCUCAGACAAUCACAUCUUAAGCGUGAUUUCUAUUUUAAAAUGCAUGUGUGAAACCUACUAACUACUAAUUAUUCUGCUUUAAAUAUUCUUCAGCAAGUGGGAGAAAAUUUCAACAACAGAAUGCUAUAUUAAAAUUUUAGAGGCAUCAUGUCGUAAAAUAUAUCAAGAUGAUACUUGACUUAAAAAAUGGUGCAUGUGUGUGUAUGUGCCUGAAUAUAUAACUGAAGC
rnacentral:lncRNA from 1 species